UGCACUACGGUGCAGAAGUAGUUGAUGCCCUGCUUCCAGGAAAAUCCUCUAAGCUCCAGGUAACAUUAAAUCGUACCCCAAACCGACACAGGUGGUCAGGUAGAGAAUACCAAGGCGCUUGAGAGAACUCGGGUGAAGGAACUAGGCAAAAUGGUGCCGUAACUUCGGGAGAAGGCACGCUGGCAUGUAGGUGAAGUCCCUUGCGGAUGGAGCUGAAGCCAGUCGAAGAUACCAGCUGGCUGCAACUGUUUAAUAAAAACACAGCACUGUGCAAACACGAAAGUGGACGUAUACGGUGUGACGCCUGCCCGGUGCUGGAAGGUUAAUUGAUGGGGUCAGCCGCAAGGCGAAGCUCUUGAUCGAAGCCCCAGUAAACGGCGGCCGUAACUAUAACGGUCCUAAGGUAGCGAAAUUCCUUGUCGGGUAAGUUCCGACCUGCACGAAUGGCGUAAUGAUGGCCAGGCUGUCUCCACCCGAGACUCAGUGAAAUUGAACUCGCUGUGAAGAUGCAGUGUACCCGCGGCAAGACGGAAAGACCCCGUGAACCUUUACUAUAGCUUGACACUGAACAUUGAGCCUUGAUGUGUAGGAUAGGUGGGAGGCUUUGAAGCGUGGACGCCAGUCUGCGUGGAGCCAUCCUUGAAAUACCACCCUUUAAUGU
rnacentral:rRNA from 1 species